AACGUAGGAGACAAGCGUUAUCCGGAUUUACUGGGCGUAAAGGGCGUGUAGGCGGUGACCUAAGUUGGACGUGAAAUCUCCCGGCCUAACUGGGAGGGGUCGUCCAAUACUGGGUCACUUGAGGACAGAAGAGGGAAGUGGAAUUCCCGGUGUAGCGGUGGAAUGCGUAGAUAUCGGGAGGAACACCAGUGGCGAAGGCGGCUUCCUGGUCUGUUCCUGACGCUGAGGCGCGAAAGCUAGGGUAGCAAACGGGAUUAGAUACCCGUGUA
rnacentral:rRNA from 1 species